rnacentral:rRNA from 1 species
CACCGCGGUUAUCGAGAGGCCCUAGUUGAUAAGAACGGCGUAAAGGGUGGUUAGAGGAGUACAAAAAUAAAGCUGAAGGACCCUCUGGCCGUUAUACGCUUCCAGGUACCCGAAACCCGAACACGAAAGUAGCUUUAAUUUAGACCACUUGACCCCACGAAAACUGAGGAACAAACUGGGAUUAGAUACCCCACUAUG